rnacentral:rRNA from 1 species
GAUGAACGCUGGCGGCGUGCCUAAUACAUGCAAGUCGAGCGAACGGACGAGAAGCUUGCUUCUCUGAUGUUAGCGGCGGACGGGUGAGUAACACGUGGAUAACCUACCUAUAAGACUGGGAUAACUUCGGGAAACCGGAGCUAAUACCGGAUGAUAUUUUGAACCGCAUGGUUCAAAAGUGAAAGACGGUCUUGCUGUCACUUAUAGAUGGAUCCGCGCUGCAUUAGCUAGUUGGUAAGGUAACGGCUUACCAAGGCAACGAUGCAUAGCCGACCUGAGAGGGUGAUCGGCCACACUGGAACUGAGACACGGUCCAGACUCCUACGGGAGGCAGCUGUAGGGAAUCUUCCGCAAUGGGCGAAAGCCUGACGGAGCAACGCCGCGUGAGUGAUGAAGGUCUUCGGAUCGUAAAACUCUGUUAUUAGGGAAGAACAUAUGUGUAAGUAACUGUGCACAUCUUGACGGUACCUAUCAGAAAGCCACGGCUAACUACGUG